rnacentral:rRNA from 1 species
UCCGGGACCCGGGGCUAAUACCGGAAACAUUUUGAACCUGAUGGUUCUAAAUUGAAGGGCGGCUUCGGGUGUCUCUUAUGGAUGGACCCGCGUCUGAUUACCUAGUUGGUGAGGUAACGGCUCACCAAGGCAACGAUGCGUAGCCGACCUGAGAGGGUGAUCGGCCACACUGGGACUGAGACACGGCCCAGACUCCUACUGGAGGCAGCACCAGGGAAUCUUCCGCUUGGACGAAAGUCUGACGGAGCUACGCCGCGUGAGUGAUGAAGGCUUUCUGGUCGUAAAACUCUGUUGUUAGGGAAGAACAAGUGCUCCCUGAAGGAUCUGGCCCCUUGAAGGUACCUACCCUGAAAGCCAUGGCUCGCUACGUGCCACCUGAACGCGGUAAUACGUAGGUGGCAAGCGUUAUCCGGAAUUAUUGGGCGUAAAGCGCGCGCAGGUGGUUUUCUUAAGUCUGAUGUGAAAGCCCACGGCUCAACCGUGGAGGGUCAUUGUAAACUGGGAGACUUGAGUGCAGAAGAGGAAGGGGAAUUCCAUGUGUACCGGUGAAAUGCGUAGAAAUUUGAAGGAACUCCAUUGCCG